rnacentral:rRNA from 1 species
AUUGAACGCUGGCGGCAGGCCUAACACAUGCAAGUCGAACGAGUGGCGGACGGGUGAGUAAUGUCUGGGAAACUGCCUGAUGGAGGGGGAUAACUACUGGAAACGGUAGCUAAUACCGCAUACCAUCAGAUGUGCCCAGAUGGGAUUAGCUAGUUGGUGGGGUAACGGCUCACCAAGGCGACGAUCCCUAGCUGGUCUGAGAGGAUGACCAGCCACACUGGAACUGAGACGCGGUCCAGACUCCUACGGGAGGCAGCAGUGGGGAAUAUUGCGCAAUGGGCGAAAGCCGGAUGCAGCCAUGCCGCGUGUAUGAAGAAGGCCUUCGGGUUGUAAAGUUCUUUCAGCGGGGAGGCGGUACCCGAAGAAGAAGCAACGGCUAACUCCGUGCCAGCCGCCGCGGUAAUUC